CCAGACUCCUACGGGAGGCAGCAGUGGGGGAUAUUGCACAAUGGGGGGAACCCUGAUGCAGCGACGCCGCGUGGGUGAAGAAGUAUUUCGGUAUGUAAAGCCCUAUCGGCAGGGAAGAAAUUGGACGGUACCUGCAAAGGAAGCACCGGCUAACUACGUGCCAGCAGCCGCGGUAAUACGUAGGUGGCAAGCGUUGUCCGGAUUUACUGGGUGUAAAGGGCGUGCAGCCGGGCUGACAAGUCAGAUGUGAAAUCCCGCGGCUCAACCGCGGAACUGCAUUUGAAACUGUCAGUCUUGAGUACCGGAGAGGUCAUCGGAAUUCCUUGUGUAGCGGUGAAAUGCGUAGAUAUAAGGAAGAACACCAGUGGCGAAGGCGGAUGACUGGACGGCAACUGACGGUGAGGCGCGAAAGCGUGGGGAGCAAACAGGAUUAGAUACCCUUGUACCC
rnacentral:rRNA from 1 species